rnacentral:rRNA from 1 species
CGCGCAGGCGGCCCCUCAGGCACGACGUGAAAGCCCCGGGCUCAACCCGGGAGGGUCGUCGUGAACCGUGGGGCUUGAGGCCGGUAGAGGUGGGUGGAACUCCUGGUGGAGUGGUGAAAUGCGUAGAGAUCAGGAAGAACACCCGUGGCGAAGGCGGCCCACUGGGCCGGUACUGACGCUGAGGCGCGAAGGCGUGGGGAGCGAAG